AUGCCCCUAAGCAUGCAUAGAAUGCCUGUCUCCCCACCCCCCAUCCCAGGAAAUGAAAGGAACUUGAGAUACAGGGGAAGAUUCUGUGCAUGCUCAGAGAUAUACAGUAUUUUUAUACCUGAUAGCGGGAUGCAAAGAGAAAAUGAAUUCAGAAGAAAAAUAAUGAUUGAAACAAAAGUAUAUAAUGCAACCAAUCAAAGGAAAUGAAGAUAUUCCGAGAAUGUGAUCCUGCAAUUUUAUGACUGCUACCAGAAUGGUACCUGGAGUUGCAGCUGCAUCACAGAUUUCUGUAAGUACAGUAUAUUACAAUACUGGCCGCCUUGUUUACAAUCGAUUUUCUAGUCAUACCUAGCAUGGAAUUCGCCAUUACUGUAUCAUCCUGGCUGUUCAAUGAGAUUUGUGGUUUGUUUUAUCCUUCUAAAGAAAAAGUCUGGAGCUCAAAAUGACUUAUCAAGCUGGACCUAGAAAGUCUUUCCGCCUCAUUUAUCUCUUAUCAGAAUCUGUGUUGCACCUUCUUGUUCCGAAGAACCUCAUAAAGCUUCCUGAUGUAUUUGCUCUGUGUGUGUGUGUGUGUUAGCAUGUUUGUUUGAAAUUGAAAUACUGUAUGCAUGACUCUGUCUUGUUUAUUGGAUGUUGGUUCAGGUAUUUAAACGUUUGAAACAAUAAGAAAGGAGAGGUGGCUUUACUCUAAGUGUAUUUGCUUCCAAACUGCCAGGACAUCCUGGAAUCUCCCAUUUAAAGUGUCCUUU
rnacentral:lncRNA from 1 species